rnacentral:rRNA from 1 species
ACGCACCUUUCGGGGUGAGUGGCGGACGGGUGAGUAACGCGUGAGAAUCUACCAAAAGGACCGGGACAACCACUGGAAACGGUGGCUAAUACCGGAUGAGCCGCAACGUAAAAAGGGAAACCUGCCUUUUGAAGAGCUCGCGUCUGAUUAGCUAGUUGGUGAGGUAAGAGCUCACCAAGGCAGCGAUCAGUAGCUGGUCUGAGAGGAUGACCAGCCACACUGGGACUGAGACACGGCCCAGACUCCUACGGGAGGCAGCAGUGGGGAAUUUUCCGCAAUGGGCGAAAGCCUGACGGAGCAAGACCGCGUGAGGGAAGAAGGCUCUUGGGUCGUAAACCUCUUUUAUCAGGGAAGAAAAAAAUGACGGUACCUGAAGAAUCAGCCUCGGCUAACUCCGUGCCAGCAGCCGCGGUAAUACGGAGGAGGCAAGCGUUAUCCGGAAUUAUUGGGCGUAAAGCGUCCGCAGGUGGCUUAUCAAGUCUGCUGUCAAAGAGUGGGGCUUAACCCCAUAAAGGCAGUGGAAACUGAGAAGCUAGAGUGCCGUAGGGGUAGAGGGAAUUCCCGGUGUAGCGGUGAAAUGCGUAGAGAUCGGGAAGAACAUCGGUGGCGAAAGCGCUCUACUGGACGGCAACUGACACUCAGGGACGAAAGCUAGGGGAGCGAAUGGGAUUAGAUACCCCAGUAGUCCUAGC